AACGCUGGCGGCGUGCCUAAUACAUGCAAGUCGAACGAGGUGGAAGGGAGCUUGCUCCUGGAUGCCUAGUGGCGAACGGGUGAGUAACACGUAGGUAACCUGCCCUUAAGCUUGGGAUACCCAGAGGAAACUUUGGCUAAUACCGGAUAACAACAGAGGAGGCAUCUCCUUUGCUUGAAAGGCCCUUUACGGGGUCACUUAAGGAUGGACCUGCGGCGCAUUAGCUAGUUGGUGAGAUAAAAGCCCACCAAGGCGAGGAUGCGUAGCCGACCUGAGAGGGUGAUCGGCCACAUUGGAACUGAGACACGGUCCAAACUCCUACGGGAGGCAGCAGUAAGGAGUUUUCGGCAAUGGGGGAAACCCUGACCGAGCAACGCCGCGUGAGUGAAUGACGGCCCUAUGGGUUGUAAAGCUCUGUUGUAAGGGACGAAUGAUUAGCUUAGGAAAUGAAGCUAGUUUGACGGUACCUUACCAGAAAGCCACGGCUAACUACGUGCCAGCAGCGGC
rnacentral:rRNA from 1 species